GAUGAACGCUGGCGGCGUGCCUAAUACAUGCAAGUCGAACGAGGUCUUCGGACCUAGUGGCGAACGGGUGAGUAACACGUUGGUACCUACCCCGAAGUGGGGAAUAACUGCCCGAAAGGGUGGCUAAUACCGCAUAAUACCGCAAGGUUAAAGCAGUAAUGCGCUUCGGGAGGGGCCUGCGUCCCAUUAGCUAGUUGGUAGGGUAAUGGCCUACCAAGGCGACGAUGGGUAGCUGGAUCGAGAGGUUGACCAGCCACACUGGGACUGAGAUACGGCCCAGACUCCUACGGGAGGCAGCAGUAAGGAAUCUUCCACAAUGGACGAAAGUCUGAUGGAGCAACGCCGCGUGCAGGAUGACGGCCUUCGGGUUGUAAACUGCUUUUAUACGGGAAGAUUAUGACGGUACCGUAUGAAUAAGGACCGGCUAACUACGUGCCAGCCGCCGCAGUAA
rnacentral:rRNA from 1 species